AUUGGGAUGGGGGAUGGGGGGUCAGCCAGGUGGAGACCCCAGAGACGGGGCUGUUCUCCUAGGCUGGGGACGCCCUGCUCAGAUGGCCCUGUCCUCCUCCCACCAUAUCCUUGGUAGCCUGGGGCCAGCUACUCUGUUGGGGCUGGUGGGGCACAUUCCCUCCCUAAGUUUGGGGCCUGUUGAGUGGUGUCAGCUUCCUAGCCUUGGUGCCCACAGAGCCUAUUCUCCGUGGCUGGGGGACCUCUUCCGGGAUGACAGCGCACUGAUUCCUAGCCACUUGAAGAGUUGACCCUCAGCAGAGACGGCUGUGUCCCCUCCCUCCAGGGCCCCAUACAGUCUCAGCCCAAUUACUCCGUGAAUAUGUGAAUCUGUUUAAAAGCAGCUUUUUCUGCUCCUGGGGCAGGGCGCGAGCUUGUUAAACCCCUGCCAACACGCUCUGCUUGCCCCAGGAGCCGAAGAGCAGAACAUGUGGCCACACAGCUGAAACCCUGGCUUCCAACCCUUGGGAACUGGCUCUUGACCACUCCUUCCCCACAGCAGGCUCUAGAUGCCAUGAGCUCUGGACUACAACACCUUUAACCCACGUCUGUGGAAGGGCCUCUGGCUUUGUCCCCUACCCAUUGUCCCUGGCCCUCCCAGCAUCUUUCAGCAUGUACCUUUGUUGCAGAGCUCACAGACAUGGUGAGGGCCCUGGCUGUGCACCUUCAUGUGGUCCGAAAUAUAAGCCGAGCUCAGCAUCUUGCCACACACAUGA